AACGGAGGGUGCAAGCGUUGUUCGGAAUUACUGGGCGUAAAGCGCGUGCAGGUGGUCUUUUAAGUUCUAUGUGAAAUCCCCGGGCUCAACCUGGGAACUGCAUUUGUGACUGCAUCGCUGGAGUGCGGCAGAGGGGGAUGGAAUUCCGCGUGUAGCAGUGAAAUGCGUAGAUAUGCGGAGGAACACCGAUGGCGAAGGCAAUCCCCUGGGCCUGCACUGACGCUCAUGCACGAAAGCGUGGGGAGCAAACAGG
rnacentral:rRNA from 1 species